AAAUGUGUUCUGUUUACUUUCUGAGUCAAGUGCUUACUUUCCCUGUAGAUAAAUACUAGAUGACAUUGGUUCUCUAGAGCAAGUGAAGAACUAAAGUGAGGACUGAGCUCUCAUGAGAGGGGAAUCACAGGAUUCCUUAAUGAAAGUGCAGACCUAAUUGGAUGUUCUUGUCCCUGUGUUCGUUCAGUGUAAGCACUGAAAAGAUGAAGCACUGAAAAGUCUCUUGCAUGACUGUGAGUACUUUUUGUUAUUGCCUCCAGAAAAACUCAGACUAACUAAACUCUUAAUCUAUGUCUCAGAAACAAGCCUUCACAUAGAUGAGACAAUUCCAUGUUGCCCUCUGCCUAAAAUUCAAGGUAGAGCUGCGCAAGAAAUACUGUUCCCAUCUAGUAAAACUCUUAGGACAUGUUUCUCUGAUUUUCAUCCUCCUUUGGGAUGAUCAGGGAUCUCAUAAAGUGUUUUGGUAGAGAACAGAAGGGAAAGAAAAUGAAGCAUGAGGUAAGGGAUUUAUGUUAAAAUCCCCGCUCUGAACAAGUGCACUGUGACUAAAAGAAUACAUUGAUUUGGGAAAUAAUGAGAGGUAAGGUGUGAGUCAGUGUGAACACAGAGCUUUUCUGCUUCAUUUUCUUCCAGUUCCCUAGGAUCCCAAAGUUUGAGUCAAAUUUUCUGUCUGCUACUAAGACUUUAUGUGAGUUGUUUUUCUCUUUCUGAGGGUUUACUUCUCCAUGACAAUAAGAGCCUUUGGUGAGUACCUGCCACUGGGAAAACUGCUUCUGGCUAAGAGCAAGCUGAUGAAUUCAGAAACUUUCACAGAGCUGGAUUUAGGCUACAGAACUCACAAAGGAUUAGGAAAUCUAUGGAGGGAAACAACAGAAGCACAGAGGUUUGGAAGAACCAAGAGCAGGUCUCUGACUUCACUGAACCUAUGUCAGUCUGUCUCAUGUGGAACAUCAAGGCUGAAGAUGAUCAUCCACGAGCAGAAACAACAAUUGGUAGGCUGGCUGCUGAUAUCUGGUAAAU
rnacentral:lncRNA from 1 species